CCUACGGGAGUCAGCAGUGAGGACUAUUGGUCAAUGGGCGCGAGCCUGAACAAGCCAAGUAGCGUGAAGGAUGACUGCCCUACGGGUUGUAAACUUCUUUUAUAAAGGAAUAAAGUGAGGCACGUGUGCCUUUUUGUGUGUACUUUAUGAAUAAGGAUCGGCUAACUCCGUGCCAGCAGCAGCGGUAAUACGGAGGAUCCGAGCGUUGUCCGGAUUUAUUGGUUUUAAAGGGAGCGUAGAUGGGUUGUUAAGUCAGUUGUGAAAGUUUGCGGCUCAACCGUAAAAUUGCAAUUGAUACUGGCAGCCUUGAGUACAGUUGAGGUAGGCGGAAUGCGUGGUGUAGCGGUGAAAUGCUUAGAUAUCACGAAGAACUCCGAUUGCGAAGGCAGCUUACUAAACUGCCACUGACAUUGAUGCUCGAAAGUGUGGGUAUCAAACAGGAUUAGAUACCCCGGUAGUC
rnacentral:rRNA from 1 species